rnacentral:lncRNA from 1 species
CAGCUUGUCGGCGCCAUUUUGUCUCGGCAGCGGUGGCCGUAGCUCCAUCGCAUUUUAUGUUUCUGGCGAGAAGGGAACGGAGUUUUCAUCAGGUAGAUUGGUUUUUGUGCGGCCGUCCUCCACCGUUUCCUCCAGGACAGCACCUAGUCGUGGCCGGAGGAGUCUCAGAGCUGUCAGAAAGAAUAAGACUGAUUUUAUGGGAAAAUUAAGCAGAUGCUCCAGUUUGAGAAACCUGGAUCUGCGAUCUGUUUGUGGCACAGCACUUUGGGAGGCUGAGGCGGGCGUGAGAUUGGGAGUUUGAGACCAGCCUGACCAACAUGGAGAAACCGCAUCUCUACUAAAAAUACAAAAUUAGCCUGGCGUGGUGGCGCAUGCCUGUAAUCCCAGCUACUCUGGAGGCUGAGGCAGGAGAACCGCUUGAAUCCGGGAGGCGAAGGUCACGAGUGGUAUUCAGUUAAGAGAACAAUUAUUUCGUAUAAGCCACAUCAGAGACGACUGAAGAUGAAAAAACUACCAUCCCCGUAUAUAACUAAUUUGUGCUGUGCACCAACAAGAACCUGCUUUAAAUUUCCAUGGCAAUUUACAACCCCCAUACUGUACCAGGCAAGGUACCAGCAUCAAGAUGAUUUAUGGUAAUAAGGUACUCAGUCUUUGCUUAAAAUAAAUUUUACGUUUAUCAAAGUAAAAUUUACCAGCUUUUUUUCCUAAAGAGGCUAGUCAUAUCUCAUCAGUGGUUACAAAGUCAUUUCUUUCAUCUAUAGAAAAUAAAAUGUAUACUGUUCAUCAGAAGAACAUUUUCCACUUGUGUAAUAACUAUUUUCACUUUUAUACUCAGAUAUAAAACCAAGGAAAAUAACCUAAAGUCUGAAAAAGACCAGAAUCGAAGUUUCCUGAUUCAUAUUUUAAUGUUUUGAAAUUUAUACUCCAGGCUGGGUGCAGUGGCUUGUGCCUGUAAUCCCAGCACUUUGGGAGGCCGAGGCGGCCGGAUUGCCUGAAGUCAGAAGUUCGAGACCAGCCUGACCAACAUGGUGAAACCCUGUCUCUACUUAAAAAUACAAAAGAGCUGGGCAUGGAGGUGGUGCGCGCCUGUAACCCUAGCUACUCGGGAGGCUGAGGCCUAAGAAUCUCUUGAACCCAGGAGGCAGAGGUUGUAGUGAGCCGGGAUCACGCCACUGCACUCUAGCCUGGGCGACAGAGAGAGAGACUGUCUAAAAAAGGAAAAGAAAAAAAUUUAUACGCCAAAAAAGAUAUUCUGAGAUAACCUGUAGUUACCACUAACUUUGUGACAAAAUUAUAAAAAUCCACAGCCAUCUAUGAAUCUGUAGGCAGACCUGAAGUUUGAACGACUGGUGAAGACAUCUGAUUUUCUUUAUAGCCAAGUUAGGAUAACAAAAUGCAAACAAGUCAUUAAUAUUUACUAUAUGCAAGAUACAGAAAGAUGAAGGAAGGAGUAAGAAGUUAUCCUUCGUGGAACUAUUCAAAGCAAAAAUGCAAAAUACCAGGGAAAGCUUUGAAGAACCAAGAUUUGAGCAGGUUCUUAGAAUAUAGAUUGGAUUGGAUUUGAUUUCAAGAAAGAUGAACGUGUAAAGCAGAAGUGGGAAGCCAAAAACUUUUUUCCAAAUUAGAAUUAAGCAUUCUUUCAAUGAACAUUUGGAAAUCAAGGUAGAAAAAUAUCCCUAGGGCCUAGCUGAGGAGUCUGUAUGUUGUUGGGUUUUGAUAGUAACCAGUCCAAGAUUUUGUUAUUAGACGUGGGUUUCUGAAUAGACAGGCAUUUCUGAACAGACAUGACAGGAUCAAAACAAUGUUUGAGCAAACUGCCCUUCAUCUACUGUGGAUAUGUUGGGGGAUGAUGGAAUAUAGUGAAAGAUAAUGGGUGCUCAUACAGCAGUCUAGACUUAAGGUGAUUCAACUACUAUAUAUUAAACUAGAUUAUCUUUUAUUUUUUAAUUUUGAAAUCUGGAUGCUCAAGCUCUGCCUGCACAACCACAUGAGGAAGAAGGAACAAUGACAACAAAAAUAACACUAAAUUUAAAUUUAAGAGUACUACUUUUAGGAAAUAGACAAACCAUUAUUUGGGUACAACUAAAGGCAACUGGCAUGGACUCAAAUAUUUUGGGGAAGAAAAAGACUAAAAGUUCUAAGGAAGAAAAUGCGAACCUUGAUAGUUUGAAAUAGUUAAAAAGACAGUGUAGAAACUGCUUAGGCAGUUUGAUUAUGGACUAUUAGAUGAUACUUGGGUCUGAUAAUGGUAUAAGGAGAAUAAAGUAUUUAGGGAUCCAAUAUUACGCCUGCAGCUUUUUCCAAAUAGUUCAUGGGGGAGGGGGAUGUGUAAGUGGUUAACUGAAGUCUAACUAGAUAGGUUUGUUGUAAGCUUAGGAUGUUUACAGUUCUUCAUGUUAAGUUGAGCGUGAUGGGAAGGGAAAGAAUGCUGAUCUUUAAAUUUUUGUCCUUAGUUAAGUUCUGUAUUUAGUGAAUUAAUUGCAUCCUAAAAAGUCAAACUUGAAAAGCACAUUUUAAAUGGCAAAUCUAUUUUUUACAUGUUUGUGAAGUUUUUAUUUUUUAGUAAACAGACCAUCAGAAGAGAACAAUGGUACAGAGCAGGGGUCAGCAGAUGGAUUUUGUAAAGCAUCAACUUGUAAAUAUUUUCAAGUUUAUUAGCUGUAUGGCUCUGGUUUCUGUUCCCUGUUCCAAAUGUUAAAGUCUACUGUUGUAUUCUAAAAGCAGCCAUGGACUGAAUGUAGCUGUGUUCCAAUAAAACUUACACAAAAGCAGGCAGUGGGCCAUAAUUUGCAACACCUGAUUCACAGCAUAAUUUUGUCACAAACUGAAAGUGUUCCUCAAUUAAAGUGAUUUUUUUUUCUUG